rnacentral:sRNA from 1 species
AAUCUAUCUACCGCCGGGGAGCCAGAAGAUGGAGGAAGCUGUACUGUGCCAACGGCCACCUCUUCCAAGCCAAGCGCUUUAACAGGAGAGCGUACUGCGGUCAGUGCAGCGAGAGGAUAUGGGGCCUCGCGAGGCAAGGCUACAGGUGCAUCAACUGCAAACUGCUGGUCCAUAAGCGCUGCCACGGCCUCGUCCCGCUGACCUGCAGGAAGCAUAUGUUGCUUACAUUUCCUCAUCCCGGAAGCAUGACAGCAUUAAAGACGACUCGGAGGACCUUAAGCCAGUUAUCGAUGGGAUGGAUGGAAUCAAAAUCUCUCAGGGGCUUGGGCUGCAGGACUUCGACCUAA